AGGCCAGGCCAGAAGGACCAGGGACUACAAACUCACCUUCAGGGCUCCUAAGCUGCUGCGGAGCUAGACGGCGGGCUGUGGGUGGGGAGGAGACUAGAAUAUUCUGAGACGGGGUCAGGUGGGAGUUGGGAGAGGUAACUUGGAGUUGCUGCCCAAGAUGCAGCUCAGCUCCAGUGGCCACACCAAGACGGUUUAAGACAGAGCGGAACCAGGGAGGUUGUUUUUGGUGGCUGGGGGCUUGGGUUUGAGUUCCUUGAACAGCAGAAGGUGCUUGGAUUUAGGGAGGCUCUAAUUGCCUGGACGAAGAACCCCGAGCUGUCUGGCCGGCCUUUCACAGUAUCCGACCGGGGCGUCCUGGACCGCCGCCAGCUCUAUCUGACCACCUCGGCGCGGGACUUUCGGUUCUAUCCCAAGACGGAGCUGUCCGGAUACCCCCGCAAGGACUCCCUGACCUACUGGAGCUUCGAAGAGACGCCCCAGGUCUGGAGCCACGGCCCGCAGCGGCCG
rnacentral:lncRNA from 1 species